rnacentral:RNase_P_RNA from 1 species
GGUGGUAAUGCUUGCUUUAGGGGUGUACCCAUCACCCUUGGGAAGGUCUGAGACUAGAGUCACCAACCCCUACUGUAUUUGAAGGGGACCCUCUCGCAGGGGGCUGUCUAAAAGGACAGGUGCACCCACUAGAAACUGGCUGGGUGAGGCAUUUGGGCAAAAGAUACUGUUCCACCCCUGUGGGCAGUUGAUGCCAUAUGUCUGUGCUCUUAGUUGGAAAGGUUCAUGGCUGGCUGACGAAGUGUAAUAUGCAAGAUGAUGCACUGCAUCAUAACUCAAUUCAGACUACUCUACCACC